rnacentral:rRNA from 2 species
AGACCCGAAACCCGGUGAUCUAGCCAUGGGCAGGUUGAAGGUUGGGUAACACUAACUGGAGGACCGAACCGACUAAUGUUGAAAAAUUAGCGGAUGACCUGUGGCUGGGGGUGAAAGGCCAAUCAAACCGGGAGAUAGCUGGUUCUCCCCGAAAGCUAUUUAGGUAGCGCCUCGUGAAUUCAUCUCCGGGGGUAGAGCACUGUUUCGGCUAGGGGGCCAUCCCGGCUUACCAACCCGAUGCAAACUGCGAAUACCGGAGAAUGUUAUCACGGGAGACACACGGCGGGUGCUAACGUCCGUCGUGAAGAGGGAAACAACCCAGACCGCCAGCUAAGGUCCCAAAGUCAUGGUUAAGUGGGAAACGAUGUGGGAAGGCCCAGACAGCCAGGAUGUUGGCUUAGAAGCAGCCAUCAUUUAAAGAAAGCGUAAUAGCUCACUGGUCGAGUCGGCCUGCGCGGAAGAUGUAACGGGGCUAAACCAUGCACCGAAGCUGCGGCAGCGACGCUGAUGCGUUGUUGGGUAGGGGAGCGUUCUGUAAGCCUGCGAAGGUGGCCUGUGAGGGUUGCUGGAGGUAUCAGAAGUGCGAAUGCUGACAUAAGUAACGAUAAAGCGGGUGAAAAGCCCGCUCGCCGGAAGACCAAGGGUUCCUGUCCAACGUUAAUCGGGGCAGGGUGAGUCGACCCCUAAGGCGAGGCCGAAAGGCGUAGUCGAUGGGAAACGGGUUAAUAUUCCCGUACUUGGUGUUACUGCGAAGGGGGGACGGAGAAGGCUAUGUUGGCCGGGCGACGGUUGUCCCGGUUUAAGCGUGUAGGUGUGUGUUCCAGGUAAAUCCGGUUCACUUUAACACUGAGGCGUGACGACGAGGCACUACGGUGCUGAAGCAACAAAUGCCCUGCUUCCAGGAAAAGCCUCUAAGCAUCAGGUAACAUCAAAUCGUACCCCAAACCGACACAGGUGGUCAGGUAGAGAAUACCAAGGCGCUUGAGAGAACUCGGGUGAAGGAACUAGGCAAAAUGGUGCCGUAACUUCGGGAGAAGGCACGCUGACA